UACGAAGGGGGCGAGCGUUGUUCGGAUUUACUGGGCGUAAAGGGCGCGCAGGCGGUCUUGAAAGUCAGGCGUGAAAGCCCCGGGCUUAACCUGGGAAUUGCGCUUGAUACUCUGAGACUGGAGUACGGGAGAGGAGAGUGGAAUUCCCAGUGUAGAGGUGAAAUUCGUAGAUAUUGGGAAGAACACCAAUGGCGAAGGCGGCUCUCUGGACCGUAACUGACGCUGAGGCGCGAAAGCGUGGGGAGCAAACAGG
rnacentral:rRNA from 1 species